CUACCCUUCCAUGGGGAGAGUGUCCCACUUCUCCAAACCAGGGCAAGCACAGCAAGCAGGGGAGAAACCGAGGGCGAGAAAUGAGGGUGCUGGCAUCAGUGGCUGAGGGCAAACAACGAUGCAUCACCUCCCCCAGCGGGCUGCUGGGGGGGAUUAAUUAGCGUUUGUAAAGCACUUUGAAGAUAAAUGAGACUGUGGGAGAGCUCCUGACCAGGAGAGAGGGGGAGAUGGGGAUCAGGGAACCCAGAUGGCAGAACGGGGCCAGAUGGACAGGGUCCUAAUUCCCGUCAAGAAUCGUUACCUGCCGCAUGCUGGAUGAGGCACCUCCAAAGAUGUGCUGUGAGCCCUGGAAAACGUGGCAGCACCAAGAGAGGAAAUCCAUGCGAAGGAGGAUGGUGGGAAAAGACAGAGAGGGAGUUUAUUCCCCUCCUCAGCUGUCAGGAGGAUGGGCCAGCGCCAGGAGUGAUGAAACACAAGAUACCCUCACACAGAUCUUUGAUCACAUUCAGUGGCUUUCCUCGUCAAGCCUCUGUAGCUCAGGUAAGAACAGAGGGCUCCAGAUUAAAGAGCAACACGGCAGCCAAGCAGAAGCCGUCAAGAUAACAGAGAGGACAGAGUCGGGAAAGACAAAGGAGGGAAGCCUGCUUUCUGCAAGAUUCCCACUCUCAGCUUUCAUUAGAUUACUCCAGAAACAGGGAUCAAGCUGAUCAAGCUGCACAUUUCAGACUCCGAUCCUGACCCUCUCCACCUGGACGCUGGGUUCCAGGACAAUGAUCAGCAUCAGGAGCUCUGGCCCCAGCAGCAGGGCUCUGACAGAUAUUUAAUCCAGCCUGGAUUUUUAUAGAUGCCUGGGUGGGUGGACAGACAGACAGCACGCCAGACUGACAGCUCGAAAUACCUCUCUGCACGAGCGUGGGUAGCAACAGAGCGUGGAGCCUCCUGCCAGAGCAUUUCACGUGCUGGUGAAAAACCCAGCCCUGCAGCUCAUCCCAGCCCUCUCCCCUCUCCCAGCGCACCCAGGGAGAAAGGUCUGGGAGGAAAAUUGGUCCCAUCACUCCAGAUCCCAACAAGAGCCCACCAGCUGUGUCCUGCAACCUUGCCCACCACAGCUCCUGCAGCCACAGGAUGCAAUAUUCCCUCUCCGGCUUCAGCUUUGGGGUGUCCAACCCCAGCGCUGCUCCUUGGGACCAAAAGCAACCUGCAGUUUGGAAGAGGAUUUGCUCAGAGCCACCCCCCACACAGGAAAGGCAGGCACCCCCCAGAGCAGGGGCUCAGCAGGGUCCACAUCUCCUGUGACAAUGACUCCAGCAAUGACAUUCUCUGAGAGUCCCGAGAGCUUCCCCAGGGAAGCCUUCCCUGCUGGCUUGUUUAUAGAUCUAUUCUUAGCUCGACUUGGACUCAUUGCAGAAGCAGCAAGGAGCCUUUCAUCCCGUGACCCUGAAGUACCUCAAAGAAUACGAGCCAAGCCUUGUGGAGAGGAAAUAUUGUCCAUUCUGUUUGACAGAGGGGUCAGCCCACGUGUGAGGCCAGGCAGAGGAGCAGGGAGCAAAAAACAGGCAGGAGAGGCUUUGGAUGUGCACAGGGUGAGAGGCAGCCCAGGGACACCACGGGCAAGAUGAGCACAUGAGGUGCAUCUAAAGUUGGAUGGGCUGGGGGGGCUCAAGGGAUGGAGAGAAGGGGAAAAACUCCAGCUGGAGAGCCAGGGCUUGUGCUGCUGCCCAGGGAUGAGGGAGGUGCUCCUUCCCUUCCACAAGGAGCAUCCUGGGGGUCUGUCUGCUCCCACAAACCCACUGCCCUCUGCUUAAGGCAUGGGGAGGUGGGAAAUAUGUGACCAAAACCCCAUUUACAGCAGAGCAGCAGGAGGGAGACUGGAUGGUCACAAACUGUGCAAACAGCCCCAUCCUUGGGAUGCUCCCAGGAAAAGGCCAUCCUGGAUGUUGCUGUUGUGAAGAAGCCACCAAACCACUGCGUUCUCACUCUGCCCUUGAUUGACAACAACUUUAUUUCUUUUUUUAUUUUUACAAAGUCAUGCUGGAAUGGUGCUCUCCCAGCUGCAGGGCCCUGUCCCAGAUGUGUGAUGGGAACAUCUCCCAUUAAGGAUGGGAGAUGCUCAUUGUUGCGUGGCACCCCUAAUUUGGGGAGGCAGAGCAGGUGCUGGGAGAGGGGGCACCGCACCCUCACACAGCACAGAAAGUCUUUUCCAUAUGCUGCCUGAUCAGUUAUAUCAGUUUCUUAAAAUGCUAUUGCACAGAUAUUUCAGAGGCAUCCUGUAGGACCAUCUGGUAUGUUAUAUAUUGCACAGAGCCCGGCCAAUUCUCAGAUCCUGUAAUUUUAUCUCCUCCAUUUCAUAUGCGGCGCAGGCAUUUUGCAAGGCGACGGGGAGUGGGAAUUUGUGGAGUGACGGAGCGCACGCAAACCGAAAGGCAAGGCCCCAAA